AUACGUAGGGGGCGAGCGUUGUCCGGAAUGAUUGGGCGUAAAGGGCGCGUAGGCGGCCCGGUAAGUCUGGAGUGAAAGUCCUGUUUUUAAGAUGGGAAUUGCUUUGGAUACUGUCGGGCUUGAGUGCAGGAGAGGUAAGUGGAAUUCCCAGUGUAGCGGUGAAAUGCGUAGAGAUUGGGAGGAACACCAGUGGCGAAGGCGGCUUACUGGACUGUAACUGACGCUGAGGCGCGAAAGUGUGGGGAGCAAACAGGAUUAGAUACCCUGGUAGUCCACACGGUAAGCGAUGAAUGCUAGGUGUAGGGGGUAUCGACCCCUUCUGUGCCGCAGUCAACACAAUAAGCAUUCCGCCUGGGGAGUACGGCCGCAAGGUUGAAACUCAAAGGAAUUGACGGGG
rnacentral:rRNA from 1 species